UUUCAUCCAUUUCUUGCAACUUCUACCACGAGCAUGAAUAAGGAGGGCAAUCUCACGGCAUAAAUGAUCUUCAUCAAAAUGUUUCCUCUCAAGUCUAAUAUCAUUCCUGCAUCUCCAAAUCAAAGAAAUAGUAGUUACAAAUGCAGUAGCUGUUACUGUCUUUUUGAACUGUCUACUCCUAGCAUUGCAGCAUAUCCAAGUUAGCUCAUUCUUCCAGCAAUC
rnacentral:lncRNA from 1 species